rnacentral:rRNA from 1 species
UACGUAGGGGGCAAGCGUUGUCCGGAUUUACUGGGCGUAAAGCGUGCGCAGGCGGUUGUGUAAGUCAGAUGUGAAAUCCCCGGGCUCAACCUGGGAACUGCAUUUGUGACUGCACAGCUGGAGUGCGGCAGAGGGGGAUGGAAUUCCGCGUGUAGCAGUGAAAUGCGUAGAUAUGCGGAGGAACACCGAUGGCGAAGGCAAUCCCCUGGGCCUGCACUGACGCUCAUGCACGAAAGCGUGGGGAGCAAACAGG